rnacentral:rRNA from 1 species
AUUUAUUAAGUCGGGCCUGCUCAGUGGUUAAUAACUAAAUAGCCGCAGUAUUUUGACUGUGCAAAGGUAGCAUAAUCAUUUGUCUUUUAAUUGAAGGCUUGUAUGAAUGGUUUGAUGGGGGAUAUCUUUCUUUAUAUCAAAAGUUUGAAUUUAACUUUUAAGUUAAAAGGCUUUAAAUUCUUUAAAGGGACGAGAAGACCCUAUAAAAUUUUACUUUAUUUGUAGGUAAUUUUAUUUAGGUUUUGGUUAAAAUUACCUAUAAAUAAAGUUUUGUUGGGGCGAUAGUGAAACUUAUUUAACUUUCAUUUUUUAUAUUAUAUUAAUUGAUAUUUUACUGAUCCUUUGAAUUAAGGAUAAAAAGAUUAAAUUACUUUAGGGAUAACAGCGUAAUUUUUCUGGAGAGUUCAUAUCUAUAGAAGAGUUUGCGACCUCGAUGUUGGAUUAAAUUAAGAUUUAAGUGCAGAAGCUUAAUUUCUAGGUCUGUUCGACCUUUAAAUAUUUACAUG